CUCACGACUCUCGGCAACGGAUAUCUUGGCUCUUGCAUCGAUGAAGAACGUAGCAAAAUGCGAUACCUGGUGUGAAUUGCAGAAUCCUGUGAACCAUCGAGUUUUUGAACGCAAGUUGCGCCCGAGGCCUCCUGGCUAAGGGCACGUCUGCCUGGGCGUCACGC
rnacentral:rRNA from 2 species